AUUAUUUUAGGUCGACGGUAUAAAAGACAAAUGUUUACGCUCUGAGGAUGAAGAUAUUAUAACACAUACAAAAAAGAAAAAACAGAAAUUAAAAUUGUUGAAAAGCGGAAAUAGCAUAAAAAUGAACGAUAGAGUAAUACAUUACUUAAUUACGAAAAAUAAUCAACAUCUGAGCAGCACCGGUAUAACAGGGAAAAUUCCGGUAUUAAUAAUUUUUCCAUUGAUGGUUUUGAUUUUUUUACUUCUAAUGAUAUAUUUAUAAAUUUUUCUAUUAUAUAAUGUAAUUGCUAUUUUACUCAUCAUAACUAUUCAUGUAAAUCUUAUUGUUUCAUACAAAUAUAUGAUUUAUUAAAUUUA